rnacentral:tRNA from 2 species
AUUUUGAUAGCUUAAAUGUUAUAAAGCAUAAUAUUGAAGAUAUUAAUAUAGUUAUUAACUUCAAAAUA